CUAUGACCUCAAGGGAUCAUAAUUUACAAAGGGAGUUCCAGGCCAGUCAAGCAGGAGAUGAAUAAGGACUCCUGGAGACAGUCACAGAAUAACUGUGGAGAGAGGGCAGCAACAACUGGAUCCCUGGCCGGAGGAAAUUUGUUAGGAGGAGAGAGACUAAAAGGAAGAUUCAAAGGAAAUACAAUUGUAACAAAUCUAUAGGUCAUAUAACUUAAGGAAGAGAACUACAGGUACAUUUCUAUCCAUAGACCUGAGAUAUUCUACUACUGAAGGCUCACAAUCCAACUAGAACCACCAAUAAAACUGUGACUCCAGCA